CGACCGGCGCACGGGUGAGUAACACGUAUCCAACCUGCCGAUAACUCGGGGAUAGCCUUUCGAAAGAAAGAUUAACAUCCGAUAGCAUAUCAAUCCCGCAUGAGAUUGAUAUUAAAGAAUUUCGGUUAUCGAUGGGGAUGCGUUCCAUUAGUUUGUUGGCGGGGUAACGGCCCACCAAGACUACGAUGGAUAGGGGUUCUGAGAGGAAGGUCCCCCACAUUGGAACUGAGACACGGUCCAA
rnacentral:rRNA from 1 species